ACGUCGAUGUCCUCCGUUUAAAAAUCUCCACCCAUUUUAAAAUUAAAACCACUCUUAUUUCACAAUCUCUCACAAAAUCCAAAGCUGGCCUCCACUGCUCCAUCCGAUGCCAGCCACACGCCACGCCAUCCAUCUGCCGUGCAACGCUGCUAUCGAGCACACCAUCAUCUCAGGGAGUGCUUGGAUCGAUGGGUAGAUGAGGCCCAGGUGACCUGCCCUUUGUGCAGAACUAUGUUGCUUCCAGCUGCUAGGAAAGAUCAGAUGAUGGUGUUGUAGUUCACGUACAGAUGAUCUCAUCGAUUCUCCAUGCAUCAAAUAUGUAUCAGCCUAUCAGAGUAAUUUGUUGCAGAUUAAUUUGAAUAAGUCAUACAUGCAAAUAUAACUGGAUCAUUGUCACUGUC